rfam:Oesophagostomum dentatum strain OD-Hann O_dentatum-1.0_Cont9130.2, whole genome shotgun sequence.
CCAACGGCCCUCUUUAGGGCCACAUAUGUGGGUAAAAACGCUCUC